rnacentral:rRNA from 1 species
GAUGAACGCUGGCGGCGUGCCUAAUACAUGCAAGUCGAGCGAACGGACGAGAAGCUUGCUUCUCUGAUGUUAGCGGCGGACGGGUGAGUAACACGUGGAUAACCUACCUAUAAGACUGGGAUAACUUCGAGAAACCGGAGCUAAUACCGGAUAAUAUUUUGAACCGCAUGGUUCAAAAGUGAAAGACGGUCUUGCUGUCACUUAUAGAUGGAUCCGCGCUGCAUUAGCUAGUUGGUAAGGUAACGGCUUACCAAGGCAACGAUGCAUAGCCGACCUGAGAGGGUGAUCGGCCACACUGGAACUGAGACACGGUCCAGACUCCUACGGGAGGCAGCAGUAGGGAAUCUUCCGCAAAGGGCGAAAGCCUGACGGAGCAACGCCGCGUGAGUGAUGAAGGUCUUCGGAUCGUAAAACUCUGUUAUUAGGGAAGAACAUAUGUGUAAGUAACUGUGCACAUCUUGACGGUACCUAAUCAGAAAGCCACGGCUAACUACGUG